rnacentral:lncRNA from 1 species
GAGUCGAUUACGAAAGGGGAAGGUAUUAGCACCCCUCACGUCCGUUGUACUCAACGGGAAUCUUUUAGUUUAAUUUGUGAUUUGAAUGUUAGUUAAUGUUGUUUGUUUUCUUCGAGUAAGUAAAGGAUAUUGGAAAGAGAUGGAUGGAAACCUAAGAAGGGGGAAAUUGGAGGUUUUUUACUAGUGUACUCGCCAAGAUCUCG